CCCUUAGAUGUUCUGGGCUGCACGCGCGCUACACUGAAGCGUUCAACGAGUAUUCACCUUGCCCGGGAGGGUUGGGUAAUCUUUUGAAAACGCUUCGUGAUGGGGAUAGAUUAUUGCAAUUAUUAAUCUUCAACGAGGAAUUCCUAGUAAGCGCGAGUCAUCAGCUCGUGCUGAUUACGUCCCUGCCCUUUGUACACACCGCCCGUCGCUACUACCGACUGGUAAGAUAUCUAAGGAGCAUGGACGUCGGCAGACGCGGUUCGCGCCGUGUCUGCGGGCAGAAGCGCCCCGCAGAUUUCUUGCUGGAGGAAGUAAAAGUCGUAACA
rnacentral:rRNA from 1 species